GACAAGCAUCAGUUUCAAUAGAGAUAACACAAGUAUCAGUACCAAUAAAGACAACACAAACGUCAAAAUUAACAAGCAUCAUUACCAACUAAGACAGCAUAAUCGUCGGUACCAACAGAGAAAACACCAAAGUCGGUACCAACAGUUACAACAAAAACGUCAAAACAAAUAGAAACAACAAUGUGGUCUUCAGUAACAGAGACAAUAUCGCCAUCACUGAUUACGAAGACAACAUUUUCACUUUUAUUAACAGCAUCGUCCUUACUUAUAGAGAAAACAGCAACAACAACAUCACGAUCCUCAAUAUCUGCAAAGACAGCAUUAUUGUCAUUACCUUCAGAGACUACGAUGUCAUCAUCAUCAUCUUCAGACUGCAGUUUCGUCACUACCAACAGAGAAACCAGCAUCGUCUAUAUCUACAGAAACUACAACGUCAAUAGAAGGGGAUCUUGCCGAUGAGAAAAGUGACUCAGGAAUGAAGAAAUAAAAAAAAGUAACAUGGACCAUACAUUGCUUACGUCACAGCGAUAGCAACUCAGAUUGAUAAAUAUCAAAAAGCACAAAUUAACAUGAAGUCUUAAACAAUAGAGAGGUGAAUUCGAAUGUGAACCAGCUAUCGAUGACCUAUACGACACUGAAGCUAUUGAUUUGUACCUUCAAUGAUUUAUUUACAUGAAAUAAGGUAACACAUAGUUCUAUAGAGAUGGGAAAAAUUAAGGAUUCAUGUGAAGAAUUUUGAACACCAAAUGGUUUAAUUUCAACACGUUCUUAAAAACCUGGAUAUGCAAGAAACGAUCAAAGUUUUCAAUCUUUAUCAUUUGGUCUUGAAAACAUAGUAUCAGAUUCGAUUCUUUAAACGAACGAUUAUAAACAGUGAAAACAAAGUGCUGACUUUGAUUCCCAAAUGUAAUUCUGAAGGAGAACAACUUGGCGUUUUGAUUUCUCUGUUAAAAUGUAUAUGUAUCAGUUAAAAAAAUCAAACACGAGGCGGAACCAAUUCGAUUAAACAGCUGAGAAUACAAAAUGUAUAGCAUGAGGGCAAAAAACAGUCCGAAUCCUGACCAUUCGAAACUUGAACCAUUUUAUACUUAUGUCAGUGAUUAUGGAUCCAGCUUUUGAUAUACUAAAAAUGUAUAGCUUAUUUGUGCCUAAAAAAAGGUGACGUGUAUAUGUCGACAAUGAAGCAACCAGACCAUAUCAACUUUUAAUAUAAGGUUUUUGAAAAUAAACGGUUGGCUAUGGAAUGCUAUGUAUGUUAUGCUCUUAAUAGCAAGAGACAGAAAACAUUAGUGAAUAAAUAAAAGAAAAGUUUGCAAACAUAUUGCAACAAAACAAUUUUAUUCUCUCAAGGACUGUGUGGACAGCCGGUUGUUUCUUUCUCAAAAGUUUGUUUUAGAUCACAGCCGUUUCAUAUCAAUUUUAAAGAUGUAAGGUAUUCAAGUACAUAUGUCAUGGAAAGAGAAAAGAUGAUUGAGGUCUUUUCCAAACUGUCUUACAGAUAUUUUAUUAUAUUAGGAUGUAACUCAA